CCUGGCGGCACUAGCGCGGUGGUCCCACCUGACCCCAUGCCGAACUCAGAAGUGAAACGCCGUAGCGCCGAUGGUAGUGUGGGGUCUCCCCAUGUGAGAGUAACUGCCGUGC
rnacentral:rRNA from 1 species